rnacentral:tRNA from 1 species
AGCUGGGCCAUGUCACCGCGGUAGACGUUCUUGAACCACCACUCGUCCUUCUGGGCGCGGGUCCAGG